UACGAAGGGGGCUAGCGUUGCUCGGAAUCACUGGGCGUAAAGCGCACGUAGGCGGAUCUUUAAGUCAGGGGUGAAAUCCUGGAGCUCAACUCCAGAACUGCCUUUGAUACUGAGGAUCUUGAGUCCGGGAGAGGUGAGUGGAACUCCGAGUGUAGAGGUGAAAUUCGUAGAUAUUCGGAAGAACACCAGUGGCGAAGGCGGCUCACUGGCCCGGUACUGACGCUGAGGUGCGAAAGCGUGGGGAGCAAACAGGG
rnacentral:rRNA from 1 species